rnacentral:rRNA from 1 species
CAGUAGCCGCGGGAAUACGGAGGGCGCGAGCGUUACCCGGAUUUACUGGGCGUAAAGGGCGUGUAGGCGGCCUGGGGCGUCCCAUGUGAAAGGCCACGGCUCAACCGUGGAGGAGCGUGGGAUACGCUCAGGCUAGAGGGUGGGAGAGGGUGGUGGAAUUCCCGGAGUAGCGGUGAAAUGCGCAGAUACCGGGAGGAACGCCGAUGGCGAAGGCAGCCACCUGGUCCACUUCUGACGCUGAGGCGCGAAAGCGUGGGGAGCAAACCGGAUUAGAGACCCCCGUAGUCCCUGUCUCUUAUAC